CCAUAUGACGUUUUACCACCGGUUCCCGUAUGAUCACCGAAGUUAAGCAAAAUCGAGCCUGGUUAGUACCUAGAUGGGUGACUGUUUGGUAUAUCAGAUACUGUAA